rnacentral:rRNA from 1 species
AGAGUUUGAUCAUGGCUCAGGAUUAACGCUGGCGGCGUGCCUAAUACAUGCAAGUCGAAUGGUAGCAAUACCAUGGCGAACGGGUGAGUAACACGUAGGUAACCUGUCUUUAAGACGAGGAUAACCGUUGGAAACGACGGAUAAUACUCGAUAGGUGAUUUUAGGGCAUCCUAGGAUCAUUAAAGAUUUAUCACUUAGAGAGGGGCCUGCGGCGCAUUAGCUAGAUGGCGGGGUAAUAGCCCACCAUGGCGAUGAUGCGUAGCCGGACUGAGAGGUUGAACGGCCACAAUGGAACUGAGAACGGUCCAUACUCCUACGGGAGGCAGCAGUAGGGAAUUUUCGGCAAUGGGCGAAAGCCUGACCGAGCAACGCCGCGUGAACGAAGAAGUAUUUCGGUAUGUAAAGUUCUUUUAUUGGGGAAGAAAAAUAUCCAAAUUGACGGUACCCAAUGAAUAAGCUCCGGCUAACUACGUGCCAGCAGCCGCGGUAAUACGUAGGGAGCGAGCGUUAUCCGGAAUUAUUGGGCGUAAAGGGUGCGUAGAUGGCAAUAUAAGUCUUAUGUAAAAAUGCUGGGCUCAACCCAGUAGGGCAUAAGAUACUGUAUAGCUCGAGUAUUGGAGAGGCAAGUGGAACUCCAUGUGUAGCGGUAAAAUGCGUAAAUAUAUGGAAGAACACCAGUGGCGAAGGCGGCUUGCUAGCCAGAUACUGACAUUGAGGCACGAAAGCGUGGGGAGCAAACAGGAUUAGAUACCCUGGUAGUCCACGCCCUAAACGAUGAGUACUAAGUGUUGGUUUAAGAUCAGUGCUGAAGUUAACGCAUUAAGUACUCCGCCUGAGUAGUACGUACGCAAGUAUGAAACUUAAAGGAAUUGACGGGAGCCCGCACAAGCGGUGGAGCAUGUUGUUUAAUUCGACGAUACGCGAAGAACCUUACCAGGUCUUGACAUCCGGUUGUUAGUUAUAGAGAUAUAAUGAGAUUGGCCGAGACAGGUGGUGCAUGGUUGUCGUCAGCUCGUGUCGUGAGAUGUUGGGUUAAGUCCCGCAACGAGCGCAACCCUUAUUUCUAGUUACCAUCAUCCAGUUGGGGACUCUAGAGAGACUGCCAGUGAUAAAUUGGAGGAAGGUGGGGAUGACGUCAAAUCAUCAUGCCCUUUAUGACCUGGGCUACAAACGUGCUACAAUGGCUGAAACAAAGAGAAGCAAAAUCGCGAGAUGGAGCAAACCUCAUAAAAGCAGUCUCAGUUCGGAUUGAAGUCUGCAACUCGACUUCAUGAAGUUGGAAUCGCUAGUAAUCGCGAAUCAGAAUGUCGCGGUGAAUACGUUCCCGGGCUUUGUACACACCGCCCGUCAAACCAUGAGAGUUUGUGAUACCCGAAGCCGGUGGCCUAACGCAAGAGGGAGCCGUCUAAGGUAGGACAGAUGAUUGGGGUUAAGUCGUAACAAGGUAGCC